AAUUUCAAAUUUAAAAGUACAUUCCAUUCCCUUGGACAAAGACAGGUCUAUGGGUGCUUAAUGAGUGAAACAAAUUACAACAAAAAAUUCUGACGUUGCAAAUACUUUGGAAGGCUAAAGAACAAUUUAGAUUAACCACAAAAGCUUUAUUGUUUCAGUAAGGUUCCAAGAAAAUAUGAUCCAUGUAAGUCUCAUUUUAAAGACACAGUCCUUGUCGUAUUUUCUCUCCUAGAAGAAGCAAUUAUACUUACCCUUAACCUAACUCCUGGGAGCUCACCCACUGAAAAUAUUUGAGGAAAUCUGACAGGAGAGAUAACUCUUCAAUGGAGAAUCUGGAUCCACUGCUGGAAAUCGCAAUGCUGUUCCUUGAGAGUUGGAACAAAUAAUGAAUUAUUUGUAUUUAUACAGUCAUUUCUACCAUAACAUUUACUUACCAUGGGGUCCCUGGAAAUAUUCUAAACCUGUUUCCCAACAAAACAGGAUCAGUUCUCUGCACCUGUGGACAAAUUGCCUUUACAGGAAGUUGUUUGUAAAUACAACCUGUUCAGAUAUUCAUGGAUCAUCCUUUCUGCUUAAUAAAAUGAACAUGUGACAUAUGAA